rnacentral:rRNA from 1 species
AUUGAACGCUGGCGGCAGGCCUAACACAUGCAAGUCGAACGAGUGGCGGACGGGUGAGUAAUGUCUGGGAAACUGCCUGCUGGAGGGGGCUAACUACUGGAAACGGUAGCUAAUACCGCAUACCAUCGGAUGUUCCCAGAUGGGAUUAGCUAGUAGGUGGGGUAAAGCCUCACCUAGGCGACGAUCCCUAGCUGGUCUGUGAGGAUGACCAGCGAUACUGGAACUGAGACACGGGCCAGACUCCUACGUGAGGCAGCAGUGGUGAAUAUUGCACAAUGGGCGCAAGCCUGAUGCAGCGAGGCCGCGUGGAUGAAGAAGGCCUUCGGGUUGUAAAGUACUUUCAGCGGGGAGGCGUUACCCGCAGAAGAAGCACCGGCGAACUCCGUGCCAGCAGCCGCGGUAAUAC